AAGAAAGUAGAAAAGGGCGCAAGGCGGAUGCCUUGGCUCACGGAGGCGAUGAAGGACGUGAUAAGCUGCGAUAAGCCUCGGGUAGAUGCAAAUAAUCUCUGAUCCGAGGAUUUCCGAAUGGGACAACCCGUCUGUCUGAAGGACAGUCACUAUCUUAAGAUAGAGCUAACGCAGGGAACUGAAACAUCUUAGUACCUGCAGGAAGAGAAAAUAAACUAAUG
rnacentral:rRNA from 1 species